AUACGACCAUAGGGUGUGGAGAACAGGGCUUCCCGUCCGCUCAGCCGUACUUAAGCCACACGCCGGGAGGUUAGUAGUUGGGUGGGUGACCACCAGCGAAUCCUUCCUGUUGUAU
rnacentral:rRNA from 1 species